rnacentral:lncRNA from 10 species
AUCCAAUAUGUCAUUAGCACACACCACUCAAUGCCCUGGCCUUGAGCAAGCCUCAGCAGAGCUGAAGAGAGAGAAAGAAUUUCUAGGAGGGAGGGCCACCUACCAACAGAGUGUGAAGGACUUUGCACCAAGACGCAAGGAUCCAAGAGACUGCCUGUGCUUUCUGGCAUUUGAAGGUUCGCAUUUUAAUGGCAAUCCUUGAAAACCUAAAAGCCUUAGAAACUAGAAGAAAUCAAUGUUUAAUGAUGGAACUUGAAACAUUAUGACAAAGGAGAAGGAGCUGAAAGGAAUUUUUAGACAUCACUGAGUGCAACCAAUUCAUCUUCUGCAUGAGCAAACAUAGAAGGAGAGAGAGAAAUGACAGGUGUCACACUACAGCCCCAGAUUUCCUAACACAAACUCCAGGAAAAGAAUCAUAUUGACUCACCUAGUAAUCUACCAAGCCCUGUCAGAGGCUAUGGACCUUCCUAUUCCACUUUUCAACGCCUGUCAAAGAUGACAAAGAUGACAAACAAGUGAUGAGGACACUGAGGCACAAUUAAAGAAUAACUUGUCAAAGAUCACAGUGUUAUUAGCAGUGAGAAAGAAUGCAGAUAAAAUCUUCCAACUCUGCAUCCCCCAUGUGCCCCACACCUUGCCCCGGGGUUACUGAAGACAGAG